rnacentral:rRNA from 1 species
CACGCCGUAAACGAUGGGCACUAGGUGUAGGGGGUGUCGACUCCCCCUGUGCCGAAGCUAACGCAUUAAGUGCCCCGCCUGGGGAGUACGGCCGCAAGGCUAAAACUCAAAGGAAUUGACGGGGGCCCGCACAAGCAGCGGAGCAUGUGGUUUAAUUCGAAGCAACGCGAAGAACCUUACCUGGGCUUGACAUGUGAGUGACCGCCGUGGAAACACGGCUUCCCUUCGGGGCACUUUCACAGGUGG